rnacentral:rRNA from 1 species
UACGGAGGGUGCAAGCGUUAUCCGGAUUCACUGGGUUUAAAGGGUGCGUAGGGGGGUUGGUAAGUCAGUGGUGAAAUACUUUCGCUUAACGAAGGAACUGCCAUUGAUACUACCAGUCUUGAAUACAGUGGAGGUAGGCGGAAUGCGUCAUGUAGCGGUGAAAUGCUUAGAUAUGACGCAGAACACCAAUUGCGAAGGCAGCUUGCUACACUGUUAUUGACACUGAGGCACGAAAGCGUGGGGAUCAAACAGG